ACAAAGUAAAAGCAAAGUUGAGCUCAAGGUCGGCCCUGGCUUGGACGUUCGCGUUUAUAUUUGUAUUCACGAGAUAGGAAUCCGCGAGGCAAAAGCGCCCAGAAGUUUUUGCUUUUUAAUCCUAUGUAAAAGGAAAAAAAAAGUUCUUUGUUGCCUCUCGUCUCGCGAAGCUGAUUUAUCGUUUCGUUAUGAGUCGUUGCUUACCGCUGUCGUCGCCGGGGACGUGCACUUUUAUAGUUUAAAUAUCAAGAGGGAAUUAAACACAAUGACAUAAUAUAUAAUACGAAUAUUACGAUACGAGAGAACGUGAUAUUAAUGAAUGGCCAAUACAACGGUGCACUCUCGCAAACGCGACUCGCUGAAGGACAGGUGUGACUCCGGGAACAAUGACAAACAUAAAUACAAUGAGCGAUACAGUCUUUCGCGCGAACGCAAGCGGAUCGUCGCGCAUGAUUUUCCGACCCGCGUAAGCCGCGUUACGCAACAUGCGAUUGUCAUAUUGGAUCGCCCUGGGCAGCACCCUGGAAUCUCGACGGUGACUAUCGCUUUUCACUUUUCUUCAUUUAACGAAGUUGCGAGACGAAACGAAUUGUUCUCGUGAAGCGACUCUCAGCCACUCAAGUACUCCCGCAACAUGAAUUUCGAAUUUUUUCAUACACGACGGAUUAUAUAAAGUCGAUCGAAAUUUUCAUUAAAUCCGACACGUAUUCUUAUCGUUUUCCUCGAGAAUUAGAACUCUUGGAAACGAGGAGCUUAUUUGUUGGCGAACUGUAACCGUUCGCGAAACAAAAGGUCUGUACUUUUUCGUUGAAUUGCCUGCACUAACUCGCACUAGUUCUCUUCUUCUCUUUUUUCCACCAAGUCUUAACUAUAUAUUUGUUUCUUUUUAAGUUUUACAAGUAUACACUAGUUUACAGAAGAAGAAAGAAAAACAGACCUAAUAUCUUUUCUUUCUUUCUCUCUUGCCGAAAGUAUCGUAUCAGUUCGCCUUUUUUACACGUAAUUUGCGACUCUCAGGCACUAAAGUAUUCCCGAAAGCUAUAAACGCUCAAUAUAAACACUCUGAUAUCUCCCGAAGUGCCGGAAUCCGUCGCUUAUUUUUUCGUUAAAUCAUCGCGCGUCGUUUAAAUGAUCGCGGUCGCGAGUGCAGUGCGGCGCGGGACGGUGCAGUGCAGUGGAAUGAAGUGAAGUGAGUAAAGAGUGAUCGACGUGGAACAAUGGCCGCUACGGAGCUCGGAUGCUGAGGAGGCUGGACGGACGCGGACAGGAUGCAGCUGUAGAUUUCAUCGAUGGACCUGGACAGCCAGACGUCACCGGAUAUCAACGUGAAAUGAUCCAAUGAAGUUCAUAGCCACACGCUGGGUGCGGUUCCCAAGGGAAGCAGUUUCCGUUUACGCGGAUGCCGUACCGGAGGAUCCGGCUCGGGCCAAACAGGAUCGUCUCGAAGAACUGUAGCAGAACGUGGCCGAUACCGAGCUCCCGUUGAUUGGUGAGUCAGACGCAAAGAUUUAUGGUGACGGAUUUAUUGAUGACGGUUGGUUUACAUAAAAAAUCAAUGCGAUUUGCAUAGCUCGUAGAUUUUUACACGCACACUGAGAGAAGGAAAUGAUCGGUGUCAUUAUAAAUUAGUC